rnacentral:rRNA from 1 species
UACGGAGGGUGCAAGCGUUGUCCGGAUUUAUUGGGUUUAAAGGGUGCGUAGGCGGCCCGGUAAGUCAGUGGUGAAAGCCUCCAGCUCAACUGGAGAACUGCCAUUGAUACUGCCGGGCUUGAGUACAGACGAGGUUGGCGGAAUUGAUUGUGUAGCGGUGAAAUGCGUAGAUACAAUCAAGAACUCCGAUUGCGUAGGCAGCUAACUAGGCUGUAACUGACGCUGAGGCACGAAAGCGUGGGGAGCGAACAGG